rnacentral:misc_RNA from 1 species
GUGAAUCAUCAAAUUUUUGAACGCAAAUUGCGCUUUCUGGCAUCCCGGGAAGUAUGCCUGUUUGAGGGUCAGUAUUAACAAAAAAAUCGGUUUGGUUGUAAAUUGUGACGUUUCCGGCGUUUGGGCUAUCUUAACUUUCUUGGUUAAGGGGCUUAAAAUUGACCUUUUUUGCGCAGUUUUAGACGUACAUAAAUUUUUUUUUUUAUUUGUCUAUUUUUAAUGCCAAAAUCUAUUUAGAUGUGUUCUC